rnacentral:lncRNA from 1 species
CUUAUCUCUGUAUACUGUAACAUGUCCACUAAUCACUGAUUACCACCGUCUGUUUGUGCUGUGACCGGUGGCAGUGUACAAGAUUUCCCAUCGUUCCUGAAGGAUGCUGGGGAACAGCUUGAGCGGAAUCCAGCACGGGACUGGGAUUUUUUGGCAAGUCAAACUUUAUCAGCACAAACAUGCGCAAAAUGAAAACAAACACAACCCAGACUGCUAAUUACCAUCCGCUUGGACCUCUGUCCCCCUAUUUUUCUCCCACAGACGCAAAAUGGCCGACUGCACCCGCCGCACUCGCUGAGAAAUCUGCUGCUGUUCCCUCCGUCCAGGACAACCCUUGUCUCCUGGAUAAUACAGGUUGACACGCUGGUAGCCCCCGUGAUUUUUCAAACCUAUUAUUUCAUGUGCAAAGUUAUAAAUUACACGACUGACACCAGUCUGGUAUCUUCUGGGCCAUGUGGCCUGAAUCAACGCCAAAUCCUGUGCCACUAAUUUUACUAAUUGCCUGAGCCCGGCCAACACUUUUCAUUGGUGUGGAGCCUGCAGUGUCACAGGAAGCUAAUGAGCGCUAAAUAAUGUAUGUGAACCUCUCUAAUUGCUUCAUUUCUCAUUUUGCUUACCAAUUCUCAUAUCAUGGUUAGGGAUGCCAAUUUUUUUUCUUCUGCUGAUGAUUCUAACAGUGGUUAAUACUAAUAACUGCACCAGUCUGUCAAAGGGCACAGCCUGGGAAAAUGAAGCUUGUAUUAUGUGCUGUAAUAGAGAAAAACACAGCGGCUGAGGAUGUAUUUAUUCCUGCAUUAUUUCUCCAAUAAUCCUCCUUUUUCCUCAGACUCAAUCCCGACUCCAACCAGACCCUCUUUGGGUAAACAUCGCAUCAUUUUUGGAUGUGUUCGUUGAUGCAUACAGCAUCAUCAGGUAAGGCGGUGUAUGCCAGCAUGCGCCACCUGGGGCUGUGAAUGUGCGUUCAUGUAUUUUGUGUAUGUAUUUGCGUGCUCCUCUCUCUCACGCAGACAUGCAUGAGUGUGUCUGCGGGAGUGUGUUGUGUCUCUCUGGCUGGGUUCCCACUGCAGCACCCGUUGGCCACCUCUCCUCCCAGUCCUAUCAACAGGGAAGCUGUAAUUUAGCAGCAAAUUUGAUCAUCCAAAUAGCUGAAUAUUUAAUGGUAUUAAAGCGUGAGGUAAAAAAAUAAAAGCUGUAUUAUUUAUUUACUCCCCAUAGUGUAACC